rnacentral:rRNA from 1 species
CCCUUAGAUGUUCUGGGCCGCACGCGCGCUACACUGAUGCAUUCAACAAGCCUAGCCUUGACCGAGAGGUCCGGGUAAUCUUUAAAACUGCAUCGUGAUGGGGCUAGAUUAUUGCAAUUAUUAAUCUUCAACGAGGAAUGCCUAGUAAGCGUGAUUCAUCAAAUCGCGUUGAUUACGUCCCUGCCCUUUGUACACACCGCCCGUCGCUCCUACCGAUUGAAUGUGUUGGUGAGGAGCUCGGAUUGGCAGCAGUUGGUGGUUCGCCACCGGCUAUUGCUGAGAAGUCCUCCAAACCGCCCCAUUUAGAGGAAGGAGAAGUCGUAACA